CUGAUAGUGGGGCAUUUCACAAAUCAUGCAUAUACUGCAAAAAUUCCAAGAAUAAUACUUAGGUUUGACUCUUGAGGCCGUUACGUAUUAUUCGUGGGAUUCUUACAAAUCCUGCAUAUUGAAAUGAAUACCCUGUGGCCCGUUUUCCGUAUCUGUCCCCAGAAAUGUGUUUUGCAGGGCUGUUCUGAAACCACCUGACGUUUGUAUUCCGACCACCCCACCCCCCCGGCCAGUGGAAGAUAUUCACCGAAGGAGAAGCUCAGAUCAGCCAGAUGUGUUCAAGUCGUGUGUGCAGAACAGAGCUUGAAGAUUUGGUCAAGGUUUUGUACCUGGAGAGGUCUGAAAAGGGCCACUGUUAGACGAGACAGACAGUAUUGGAGAGGGUAAAGCAAGAAAACUCAAGCUGCAGCUGGACUGCGGGCUGAUUUUGCUUAAGUCAACAGUGCCCUAAAACGCCAAACUCAAAUGCAGUUCAUUAUUCACGCCAUGCACAGCAUAACUUGCUCCUUUAUGUGGAGUGGUGUGUCAGUCCUUAAACACCUCCUGCAAAGAGACUAGAAGAGUCUUGAGUUAUUUGUGGGAGGAGGAGGGCUAGAACACCACAACACUGCUCUAGUUUCUGGGAGAAUCACAUUUCUUCACAGGUUAAAGAGUAAACCAAACCCUAGGGUUUCUAUCUAGAAAGUUACUCCAAUGAAAGAAAACCGAUGAGAAUUUGCUUAGUAGGAGUUGUGUAGUACAGAGAAAAUAUGUGUAUGAAAUUAUACUCUUUCAAUUUUAGGAUGUCUUGUGUUUUUAAGAAAAUAUUAACUGCCCAUCCUCAUCCACACAGACACACAUGCCUGUGUGCAAGCAUGCAUGUGUGCGCGCGUGUGCACGCACGCGCGCGCGCACACACACACACACACACACUAAACUGCCGCCUUCCUUCUGAGGCAAAGCCAGCAUAGACUCUCCCCUCCUUUCCCUCGCCUGGCUCCCAAGUAGCUCUGAAGUUGUGGGUACUCAGGAGGAUAAAGAAGGAAUUGUGAGCAGAAGGUCAGUGGUGUGGUUGCUGAAGUCACCAACUAUGGUGGCAGGGUGAAGAAUAAGAACACCAUUUCAUGGCCACGUUCAUUUUGAAGCCAUAAAUAACUUUUCCCUAGUGAUGCCACUUCUCUUUUCUCCCUGAGCCUGUGGGGGGCCCCGUAAAGAAGUUAGAACUGAGUAAAAUCUUCAGAAACUGAAUCCACAGAAGACAAAAUAAUUGUUGAAGAAAAUGGUGGAUGGAAGUCAACAAGGAAACCUUGUGUUUUCAAGUCAGUAAGAGUCACCAACAAAUAGCUCAAUACUCGCUAAUUUUCUUGAUAGCCAGAGUUCUGUAGUCCAGAAAUUUAGAUUAAAUGAUUACAUUCUAGAAGCUUCUUAAAAGGGCAGUUUUCCUUCUUCUCCAAUUACAGGAGUUCAUUUUGACUUUGCAAAGGGGCUCAGUCCCCACAAGCUUUUGAAGGUUGGCUGUUCAGUUAGGAGAAUUGUUGCUCAUGUGGGGAAGUGGAUAUUCUGACAAGGAUCUUUGUUCUAAACUUUCCUACCAUUCUCAUCUCAUCCACCAAGCAGGGAUUUGAGUCAUGAAUCCUAGAGAAGGCUGCUCAGAAACUGUCUAUUCAGAGCUCGAUACCAGAGCAGAACUUACCGUUCUGAGGCCUGGCUUUAGACAUCAUCUUUGUGGCAAAACUGUAAAUUCUCCACAAGGAUCUCAAGCCUGCCUUCUAGAUUCAUCCCUUCUGAGGGGCUUGAAUGAACUCUAGUGAGUACUCAGAAGUAUCAAGGACGCAGACAUCCUGUAUUUCCCACUCCAUGGCCAUAGGAGAGAGGAGCGUUGUUUUCCUUACAGUCGAUGACACCAAUAGGGAAAAAUGUAAAAAUCUUUAUGGCAAAACCUGGCAUAAUGGAGGCGGUUCUCCUAAAAGAGAUACAGGGGCGCCUCGUGGCCAGGCCUUCACCGGACAAGCCUCCUACCAACCCUUCAUACAUACUCUCCCCAGGAAAGGGAGGGAGGACAUCCAGGGCUGAGAGGCCAGAGAGCGUUAUUGGGGACGGGGCUGCUAAGUAGCUUCGGCCUCCCUCCCAGAGGUGGCAGCAUUUCCAUAGUGUGGAAACAAGUAACUGGAUCCUCAAGCCAAGUGGUGAUUUCCCCUUCUGGAUGACUCACCCCAAAGCCUUCCCACCCAGGUGUUCUCUGAAAGCUCAACCAUAAGGGAACACCCAGAGAGCUUCCCUAGAUAGACGUCUGCCCCCAGGUGCGGGGACACACCUUUCCCAUGUGCUGUGUGAAGCAGGGGCUGGGGAGCUGUGCUAGGCCAACGUAGAAACCUUGCGGUGUUCUGUGUGGUAUAAGCAGUAGGGCAUGGGGAGAAGAGGCAGAGUCCCCUGUAGUUAGGAGAGGAAUGGAUGUGGUUCUUCUUGUGUAUUUAUUUGUAUCAUAAACACCUGGAACAACAAAGACCAUAAGCACCAUUUAGCAGUUAUAGCCAUGUUCUAGUUAACUCGUGUAAACAAGUAAGAGUAAACGUAAAGUAACAGUAUUAGCCUUCUGUUCUUCUUACAGGACAUGUACCUAAAUAGGGUACUUAUUUAUGUAGUCACUGUAUUUCUGGAUUUUUAAAUUAAUAAAAAAGUUAAUUUUGAAAAACCA